AGCAAGGCACCUGAACUUGCUGUGCUAUACUCUCAACCAGAAGAUUAAAGAGUCAGCCAACAUGGACAGAGAUAGAUAGCGGAACUGACAGGAACAGAAAACCAAAUGCCGCAUGUUCUAGCUUAUAAGUGGGAGCUAAACAUUGAGUACACAGGGACACAAAGAAGAAAAUGACAGACACUGAGGCCUACUUGAUAGUGGACAGUGGGAAGGAGGAAUAUCAAUAAGUUCCAAUUGAAGAGCGGAUUCUUUUGCAAUUCAGGCAUGUGCCGGCGAUAACGGGCGAGUUGGCAUGAAGAGAGGCAGAGAUGGAUUAAUUAUGCAGAGAACAUGGAAAUUCUGCUUAUCAUCGGCUAGCAAAGGAGCCCGGCUCACAUAAUCAGCAAACGAAGGGAGAGGAAAAAAUAACAAUGCAAUGGCACCUUCCAGCCCAUCAUCAGGAUUUUUUCUACCCCCUUGUAAUUAAAAAAUAACAUACACUUAUAGCCCUAUCUCCUGUGCAGGCAAGGAGUGGAUGUCCACAAAAUAAUUGCACUGGGAUAUUAGAGCUGGCGACACGGGCUGUCCAUUCCGGCUUGCUCUCCUGCUCACCCUCUCUUUCUCUUUUGGCCUCUCAGGCACUUUGCUUCUGAACCCAGUCCAAAUCAGAGAGACGUCUCAGGUGACAUUCAAGCUCGGUUUCCAAAAAUCCCAAAUUGGUACCUUAUCAUGAUCCAAGCAAACAUACAUACAUAUAUGAUAAAUAUUUGGAGGGCUGACUCUAGAGGAGGCUUUGGAACUGAUCACCUGUGGACUAUCUGGUCAGUUUCAUUUUUUAUGAAACAUGUCCAAAUAGCCUUCAUUUUGCAAAGUGGCUGGAUUAAAAUGGUGGCUGUGCAACGGCUGUGCUAUCUUCUCAAAUCAUUUAACUUACCUACAAGUUUUUGUUUCUAUUCCCUUUGCCAACUCAUUUUAUAAAUGUUAAGUUAAUGAUUGCAAUGUCUGCACCUCAAAAUCAGAAUUCGCAAUUCUGUAUUGUCAUUGUAAAAUCUGACAGCUCAAUGCCUUGUAUUUCUCUAAAUGCCAAAAG
rnacentral:lncRNA from 1 species